rnacentral:rRNA from 1 species
UACGGGGGGGGCCAGCGUUAAUCGGAUUUACUGGGCGUAAAGCGUGAGUAGGCGGCUCGCUAAGUCGAUUGUGAAAGCCCUGGGCUCAACCUGGGAAUUGCAGUCGAUACUGGUGAGCUAGAGUUCGGUAGAGGGUGACGGAAUUCCCGGUGUAGCGGUGAAAUGCGUAGAUAUCGGGAGGAACAUCGAUGGCGAAGGCAGCUCGCUGGGACGGUACUGACGCUGAGGCGCGAAAGCGUGGGGAGCAAACAGG